rnacentral:rRNA from 1 species
UACGGAGGAUGCAAGCGUUAUCCGGAAUCAUUGGGCGUAAAGCGUCCGCAGGUGGCUUUUCAAGUCUGCUGUCAAAGCCCGGGGCUCAACCCUGGAGAGGCAGUGGAAACUGAGGAGCUGGAGUACGGUAGGGGUAGAGGGAAUUCCCGGUGUAGCGGUGAAAUGCGUAGAUAUCGGGAAGAACACCAGUGGCGAAGGCGCUCUGCUGGACCGUAACUGACACUCAUGGACGAAAGCUAGGGGAGCGAAUGGG